CCUACGGGGGGCAGCAGUGGGGAAUAUUGCACAAUGGGGGAAACCCUGAUGCAGCGACGCCGCGUGAAGGAAGAAGUAUUUCGGUAUGUAAACUUCUAUCAGCAGGGAAGAAAAUGACGGUACCUGACUAAGAAGCCCCGGCUAACUACGUGCCAGCAGCCGCGGUAAUACGUAGGGGGCAAGCGUUAUCCGGAUUUACUGGGUGUAAAGGGAGCGCAGACGGCAGUGCAAGUCUGGAGUGAAAGCCCGGGGCUCAACCCCGGGACUGCUUUGGAAACUGCAUAGCUGGAGUGCUGGAGAGGCAA
rnacentral:rRNA from 1 species